AGCGAACGCUGGCGGCAGGCCUAACACAUGCAAGUCGAACGAACUCUUCGGAGUUAGUGGCGGACGGGUGAGUAACACGUGGGAACGUGCCUUUUGGUUCGGAAUAACUCAGGGAAACUUGUGCUAAUACCGAAUGUGCCCUUCGGGGGAAAGAUUUAUCGCCAUUAGAGCGGCCCGCGUCUGAUUAGCUAGUUGGUGAGGUAACGGCUCACCAAGGCGACGAUCAGUAGCUGGUCUGAGAGGAUGACCAGCCACACUGGGACUGAGACACGGCCCAGACUCCUACGGGAGGCAGCAGUGGGGAAUCUUGCGCAAUGGGCGAAAGCCUGACGCAGCCAUGCCGCGUGAAUGAUGAAGGUCUUAGGAUUGUAAAAUUCUUUCACCGGGGACGAUAAUGACGGUACCCGGAGAAGAAGCCCCGGCUAACUUAGUG
rnacentral:rRNA from 1 species